CGCGAAUGGCUCAUUAUAACAGCUAUAAUUUACUUGAUCUUGACACAAUCCUACUUGGAUAACUGUGGUAAUUCUAGAGCUAAUACAUGCAUUAAAGCUCUGACCGCAAGGGAAGAGUGCACUUAUUAGAACAAAACCAAGCGGCUUCGGCUGUUUUCGGUUGACUCAUAGUAACUGAGCUGAUCGCACGGUCUUGCACCGGCGACGUGUCUUUCAAGUAUCUGCCGUAUCAACUUUCGAUGGUAGUGUAUCUGACUACCAUGGUGAUCACGCGUAACGGAGAAUAAGGGUUCGGCUCCGGAGAGUUCGCCUGAGAAAUCGCGAACACAUCUAAGGAAGGCAGCAGGCGCGAAAAUUACCCACUCUCAGCACGAGGAGGUAGUGACGAAAAAUAACGAGACCGUUCUCUUAUGAGGCCGGUCAUCGGAAUGGGUACAAUUUAAACCCUUUAACGAGUAUCUAUGAGAGGGCAAGUCUGGUGCCAGCAGCCGCGGUAAUUCCAGCU
rnacentral:rRNA from 2 species